CUCCUCACUUUCAUUCUCUCUCGUCUUCUCUUUCUCUCUCUUUUCCCUUUCCCAGUACAGCAACAAAUCAAUAGCAGCUGAAACAAGAAAAAGAAACAAGAAGAAGAAGAAGAAGUGGAAAACUAGAUUGUGCACAAAUCCGCAGUCAGCCUCACCGGACUUCGAUAAAAUCCACCACACAUAGUCGACGAUGUCUCUUUUACCGGUCACUCCGCAACACGGGACCAAAUGACAGCCACCACUUUUAGAUCUGAUACGAAGGAUUUAUCUCUCUUUAUGUGAAAGAGCUUCAGAAAAUACUAGACAUUUAGAAGAAAAAACCAUGGAAAUGAAAAAGGAAGAACAUGUAAACGGGUUAGAGAUUACUUUCUAUUGGUGUUGGAUCUGCCAUAUUGCUUGGAGUAGUUGAAAGAAAAACUACACUGAUCUUGCAGCAACAAAGAGACUGCAUCAGAUUGAAUUAUGGCUCUAUUGCAUGAAAAAAUCACUGUGAAGCUUUAAUCUCUUGAAGGAUUGUAAAACUCAAAAGUGGUGGUGGAGAUUUGGUAUUCUCUCCACUAUCUCUGUUACUUAUUGAUAUAUAUUACGUUUAACAUAUUAUGUGCGUAUAUUUUUUUUCAAAAUACUCAUCUUACUAAUUAGAUGAAUAUAUUGUGGCGGUUUCUGAACUUUCUCCAAAGGCUAUUGUUGGAUUCCUGAUGAAAAUGUCCUUGUAGACUCAGACUAAAGCCAUUAGCAUUCAUGAACAUCACAACACCAGCCACCAAGUACAUUUAAGAUUUGUACCCGAUGGGAUUUAUCAUGUUGUUUUGCUUAUGUAUCUCAUUUUAAUUGACUAUUGUAAUACUAUACUUCUAUAAAGUUAAUGUCUACAUCA